CAGGUGCUAAAUAGUGACCCGUUUAUUAACAGUGAUGAUCAGGUGCUAAAUAGUGACCAGUUUAUUAACAGUGAUGAUCAGGGUCAGGUGCUAAAUAGUGACCCGUUUAUUAACAGUGAUGAUCAGGUGCUAAAUAGUGACCAGUUUAUUAACAGUGAUGAUCAGGUGCUAAAUAGUGACCAGUUUAUUAACAGUGAUGAUCAGGUGCUAAAUAGUGACCAGUUUAUUAACAGUGAUGAUCAGGUGCUAAAUAGUGACCAGUUGAUCAGGGUCAGGUGCUAAAUAGUGACCAGUUUAUUAACAGUGAUGAUCAGGUGCUAAAUAGUGACCAGUUUAUUAACAGUGAUGAUCAGGUGCUAAAUAGUGACCAGUUUAUUAACAGUGAUGAUCAGGUGCUAAAUAGUGACCAGUUUAUUAACAGUGAUGAUCAGGUGCUAAAUAGUGACCAGUUUAUUAACAGUGAUGAUCAGG